UCAGGAUGAACGCUAGCGGCAGGCUUAACACAUGCAAGUCGAGGGGCAGCGGGAUGUAGCAAUACAUGCCGGCGACCGGCGGAUGGGUGCGUAACGCGUAUGCAACCUACCUAUACAGGGGAAUAACCUUUCGAAAGGGAGACUAACACCCCAUAGUAUUGAUUUAAGGCAUCUUAGAUUAAUUAAAUAUUUAUAGGUAUAAGAUGGGCAUGCGUAUGAUUAGCUAGUUGGUAAGGUAACGGCUUACCAAGGCGACGAUCAUUAGGGGUUCUGAGAGGAAGGUCCCCCACACUGGUACUGAGACACGGACCAGACUCCUACGGGAGGCAGCAGUGAGGAAUAUUGGUCAAUGGGCGCAAGCCUGAACCAGCCAUGCCGCGCGCAGGAAAGACGGCCUUAUGGGUUGUAAACUGCUUUUACAUAAGACUAACCGUAUAUUUGCGAAUAUACCUGAAUGUAUUAUGAGAAUAAGGAUCGGCUAACUCCGUGCCAGCAGCGGC
rnacentral:rRNA from 1 species